rnacentral:rRNA from 1 species
CUCGGCCCAAGGAGUCUAACAUGUACGCAAGUCAUUGAGAAUGUUAAUCUCAAAGGCGUAAUGAAAGUGAAGACCCAAUUUUAUGGAUUUGAGGAGAGAUCAUGAUUUUUGUUUCGUAUUCCGUAAGGUUUAUGGGAAAAAGUCUGCGCAUCUCCUGGACGUCUUAACCUCUGAAGGUGGGGCGUACCUAGAGCAUACACGUUGGGACCCGAAAGAUGGUGAACUAUGCCUGGUCAGAACGAAGUCAGGGGAAACCCUGAUGGAGGUUCGUAGCGAUUCUGACGUGCAAAUCGAUCGUCGGAACUGGGUAUAGGGGCGAAAGACUAAUCGAACCAUCUAGUAGCUGGUUCCCUCCGAAGUUUCCCUCAGGAUAGCUGGCGCUUAUACCAGUCUCAUCCGGUAAAGCGAAUGAUUAGAGGCCUUGGGGCCGAAACGACCUCAACCUAUUCUCAAACUUUAAAUGGGUGAGAAGUCAGGCUUGCUUGAUCGAAGCU